GACGAAGGGUGCAAGCGUUAAUCGGAAUUACUGGGCGUAAAGGGUGCGUAGGCGGUUCGUUAAGUCUGUCGUGAAAUCCCCGGGCUCAACCUGGGAAUGGCGAUGGAUACUGGCGAGCUAGAGUGUGUCAGAGGAUGGUGGAAUUCCCGGUGUAGCGGUGAAAUGCGUAGAGAUCGGGAGGAACAUCAGUGGCGAAGGCGGCCAUCUGGGACAACACUGACGCUGAAGCACGAAAGCGUGGGGAGCAAACAGG
rnacentral:rRNA from 1 species